CAAUAGCGUAUAUUAAUGUUGUUGCAGUUAAAACGCUCGUAGUCGGAUUUCGGGGCGGGGUUGCCGGUCUGCCGUUGGGUAUGCACUGGUGACUGCGUCCUUCCUUCCGGAGACCGUUCCUACUCUUAACUGAGCGGGGUCGGGAGACGGAUCUUUUACUUUGAAAAAAUCAGAGUGUUUCAAGCAGGCAUAUCGCUUUUGCAUGGAUUAGCAUGGGAUAAUGAAAUAGGACUUUGGUGCUAUUUUGUUGGUUUCGAACACCGAAGUAAUGAUUAACAGGGACAGUCAGGGGCACUAAUAUUCCGUUGAGAGAGGUGAAAUUCUUAGACCAGCGGAAGAUUAACCACUGCGAAAGCAUUUGCCAGGGAUGUUUUCACUGA
rnacentral:rRNA from 1 species